rnacentral:rRNA from 1 species
UGGGGAAUAUUGGACAAUGGGCGCAAGCCUGAUCCAGCCAUGCCGCGUGAGUGAUGAAGGCCCUAGGGUUGUAAAGCUCUUUCACCGGUGAAGAUAAUGACGGUAACCGUAGAAGAAGCCCCGGCUAACUUCGUGUCAGCAGCCGCGGUAAUACGAAGGGGGCUAGCGUUGUUCGGAUUUACUGGGCGUAAAGCGCACGUAGGCGGACUAUUAAGUCAGGGGUGAAAUCCCGGGGCUCAACCCCGGAACUGCCUUUGAUACUGGUAGUCUUGAGUUCGAGAGAGGUGAGUGGAAUUCCGAGUGUAGAGGUGAAAUUCGUAGAUAUUCGGAGGAACACCAGUGGCGAAGGCGGCUCACUGGCUCGAUACUGACGCUGAGGUGCGAAAGCGUGGGGAGCAAACAGG